rnacentral:rRNA from 1 species
AGUGAACGCUGGCGGUAGGCCUAACACAUGCAAGUCGAACGGCAGCACAGUAAGAGCUUGCUCUUACGGGUGGCGAGUGGCGGACGGGUGAGGAAUACAUCGGAAUCUACUUUUUCGUGGGGGAUAACGUAGGGAAACUUACGCUAAUACCGCAUACGACCUACGGGUGAAAGCAGGGGAUCUUCGGACCUUGCGCGAUUGAAUGAGCCGAUGUCGGAUUAGCUAGUUGGCGGGGUAAAGGCCCACCAAGGCGACGAUCCGUAGCUGGUCUGAGAGGAUGAUCAGCCACACUGGAACUGAGACACGGUCCAGACUCCUACGGGAGGCAGCAGUGGGGAAUAUUGGACAAUGGGCGCAAGCCUGAUCCAGCCAUACCGCGUGGGUGAAGAAGGCCUUCGGGUUGUAAAGCCCUUUUGUUGGGAAAGAAAAGCAGCAGGUUAAUACCCCGCUGUUCUGACGGUACCCAAGGAAUAAGCACCGACUAACUUCGUG